CCCCAUUGAUGUCUGAUAUUGCUGCAAUC
rnacentral:piRNA from 1 species